rnacentral:rRNA from 1 species
UGGGGAAUAUUGGACAAUGGGGGCAACCCUGAUCCAGCAAUGCCGCGUGUGUGAAGAAGGUCUUCGGAUUGUAAAGCACUUUCGACGGGGACGGUGAUGACGGUACCCGUAGAAGAAGCCCCGGCUAACUUCGUGCCAGCAGCCGCGGUAAUACGAAGGGGGCUAGCGUUGCUCGGAAUGACUGGGCGUAAAGGGCGUGUAGGCGGUUUACACAGUCAGAUGUGAAAUCCCCGGGCUUAACCUGGGAGCUGCAUUUGAUACGUGUAGACUAGAGUGUGAGAGAGGGUUGUGGAAUUCCCAGUGUAGAGGUGAAAUUCGUAGAUAUUGGGAAGAACACCGGUGGC